rnacentral:rRNA from 1 species
ACCCGCUGAACUUAAGCAUAUCAAUAAGCGGAGGAAAAGAAACUAACAAGGAUUCCCUUAGUAACGGCGAGUGAACCGGGAAAAGCUCAAAUUUGUAAUCUGGCUGUCUUCGAUAGUCCGAGUUGUAAUCUAUAGACGUGUUUUCCGUGCUGGACCGUAUCUAAGUCCCUUGGAACAGGGUAUCAAAGAGGGUGACAAUCCCGUGCUUGAUACGACCACCAGUGCUCUGUGAUACACGCUCUACGAGUCGAGUUGUUUGGGAAUGCAGCUCAAAAUGGGUGGUAAAUUCCAUCUAAAGCUAAAUAUUGGCGAGAGACCGAUAGCGAACAAGUACCGUGAGGGAAAGAUGAAAAGCACUUUGGAAAGAGAGUUAAACAGUACGUGAAAUUGUUGAAAGGGAAACGAUUGAAGUCAGUCGUGUUCUUUGGAUUCAGCUAGUUCUUCUAGUCUACUUCCUUUGAACGGGUCAACAUCAGUUUUGUCCGGUGGAUAGAGGUAGUAGGAAUGUAGCUCCCUCGGGAGUGUUAUAGACUAUUAUUGCAUGCACUGGGUGAGACUGAGGACUGCAGCUCGCCUUUUGGCCGGCCUUCGGGUACGUUCGAGCUUAGGAUGUUGACAUAAUGGCUUUAAACGACCCGUCUUGAAACACGG